UCAUCCUAAACACAGGGGUCAAAAGGAUGAAUUAUACAGUAACCAUAUUCAUGUAGGUUCUGAGUGUUCCGAUUGUGACUUUUCGAUCUAUCCGGAUGUCGGGUACCAUUGCUAGAUGGUCACUUCGAUUAGUACUGGAAUUGGUUCCUGUGCUACCAGCUUAGGUUCGAACCUGUGGGGUCACACACAUUAGAGGUUCCUAUUUGAUCUGAUGGCUGAUGUAGAAUCCUACAUAUUUGGGACUCAGUGAUCGAGAAUCAGGAUUCUCUGAUCAUGAGUUCCACACAUUAUGGGUACCAGGGUCAAGAGUCUCACUGGUUGGGACUUUUCGAUCAGGGUUACAUAUCGAUGAAUUCUGAUGCCCGAUUGCCCAUCGGAUUUGGACUCAGUAUUUAUGAGAGGUUUAAUUAGUGAUUUGAUCGCUAAUUAACUCAAUUUGAGUGAGUAAUUAUUUUUGGAUCAAGUCCAAUUGAAUUGGAUUCAGUUGGGUUUGACCCGAUUAGGUUAAGAGUUGACCUAAUCGUCAAG
rnacentral:lncRNA from 1 species